AAGAUGUUAGUAAUAAUAAUUACAUUACUUUGUCAAAGUAAAAUUAUAAGUUAAAAUCUUAUACACCUUA
rnacentral:tRNA from 1 species